rnacentral:lncRNA from 1 species
AUGUCUGCCAGUCCCUCUGGCUCCAUUGAAGGCAGUUAUCAUGUGGACCCACCAAUAUCUUCUAAGUAUGUCUCACGAUGCAUUUCCUACACACUUUUCUCCAGUUACGUGAAUCUUCAACCAAACACUGUUGGACACCAGUCUGAACUCCUGAGAGGGAAUCAACAUAGACCAGACAAGCAUUUGCUCACCACCACCCUGUAUUUGGGUGGAAGGGCCGCCAGCAUUUCUGCAUCUUGGAGCUGGCUAGGCAGCUGUGGAGCCAGGCACCUUCCUGCACUCAGCGCUGAAUGAGGCCGUCGGGGAUCAGCAUUUGGAAGUUUGGGAGAAGGAAGAUCUUUGGAACCAUCCUAGGCAGACCUGGACUACCCUCAGCUGCAUGUUCAACAGUACAUUGGGGAGAAGAGGAGGACGCAGAAGGCCUUCAAGUUCACAACAAAUUUCGGAAGUUUGCCUGGGCUAGCUCCAUCAUGGGUAACUUUUUAAACUGGCCAUGAUACAAUAUUGCAUUUAUAGGUGUGCCUGCCUCCCCCCCAGCCAGCACCUUCCAGCAGUGUCCCAGCGCACAUCCAUUAGGUGGCUCAGGCCAUACGCAUUGCUCUCACCGUUUGUCCCAGUAUUAUUGUAUUAGUUUUAAAUCAGCUCAUUUAAUCCUUUCAACGGCUGUGAAGUAUUUUUAUUUCUUUUACUCUCGAGGAAACUGAGGCCCCGGAGCGGUGAGAGCAUCUGGCCCUGGUCCCUGUGCUGCGUACCACUCCGCGCCCCUUUCCUGGGAGCCUGGGCGGACCGGGCUCUCUGAGGGGCGGGGCUCCCGAGCUCCGCGCUCUCGGGCUCCGAGGACCCUUAAAGCACAGUGGCCAAAAAAUAAGGGCUGCGUUUUUAAUCCUCACAGUGAAAAAGUUGUUUCGAGGUGAGGUACGCUUGAGAGGGAGGCCAAGACGGGGCGUCCAGGGGGAAGAAGAAACAGGAGGCGGCGGGGAGGGGGCUGGAGCCCACGGGCGCGGGGGCCGGGCCGGGGCGGGGCGCGGGGCCGGG